CCGCUCAUAGCUCAGCCGGUAGAGCAGCUCCCUCUUAAGGAGAUGGUCGGGGGUUCGAUUCCCUCUGAGCGGA
rnacentral:tRNA from 1 species